GACGAACGCUGGCGGCGUGCCUAAUACAUGCAAGUAGAACGCUGAAGAGAGGAGCCUGCUCUUCUUGGAUGAGUUGCGAACGGGUGAGUAACGCGUAGGUAACCUGCCUGGUAGCGGGGGAUAACUAUUGGAAACGAUAGCUAAUACCGCAUAAUAUUGACUAUUGCAUGAUAGUUGAUUAAAAGGUGCAAUUGCACCACUACCAGAUGGACCUGCGUUGUAUUAGCUAGUUGGUGGGGUAACGGCUCACCAAGGCGACGAUACAUAGCCGACCUGAGAGGGUGAUCGGCCACACUGGGACUGAGACACGGCCCAGACUCCUACGGGAGGCAGCAGUAGGGAAUCUUCGGCAAUGGACGGAAGUCUGACCGAGCAACGCCGCGUGAGUGAAGAAGGUUUUCGGAUCGUAAAGCUCUGUUGUAAGAGAAGAACGAGUGUGAGAGUGGAAAAGUUCACACUGGGACGGU
rnacentral:rRNA from 1 species